AUCCACGGGGGGUCUCUUCCUAUAUAAAGGUAUAUACAUAUGUGCCGCUGGAAUGGGUCCCUUUUUUUGAUCCGUCAAAUAUAUCAAUGGGGUGCAAUUUUACCGAGGAAAUAUAUCAAUAGGUAGUAAUUGACCGAUUGUGAUAUAUCAAUGGGUGAUAAAUAUAUGAAUGGGUUAUGAUUUCGCUGUGAAAUAUAUGUUUAGGUAGGGAUUUCACAAUUAUUCAAUAUAUGAAUGGGGGGUGUUUUUAAAAUCCCAGCUGCACACCUGUACCCAAAAUCCCAUGUUGAGACCCCCCCCCCCCCCCCCCGUGACUACAUCUUUCAUUUAAGAAAUAUAUAUCUACUCUAUAAAGCUAAGUAUUUAGAGACAAUCUAUACCUGUAAUGGAUUAUGUAUCUGGUUUAAAUUUCUUUGUUUCCUUAUUACUCCAGGAUCUUGAUACUUGGCAUGUAAAUUUGUUAAUACUAGAGUCAUGAAUUACACAGUUAUCCCCACAGUGGCAUACAAACAGAUGUUAUGAUAUAAGACUUUUCAAAGGCAUUUAACAAGGUAUCUCACGAGAAAUUAUUAAGAAAGAUGGAUAAUUAGAGCAUAUUAAGUGGAAAUACCUGGAACUUGGUAUCACAUACCUGCCAACACUUCAAAAUGCCCAUUGGCGGACCUUUGGGGUUUGGAAUCCUCCCUUUUUUUGGAUGAUCAAUGCAUUUGAAUGGGAGCAUAUAGUUGGACCCCCCCUCCCCCCUUUCAGUCUUUACGAUGAAAUGUUAAAUCUACAGGCCCGGAGCUUAAUUUUUGAAAUUUUUAGUGAGAUUCUGUUGGCCUGUAGAUAUGAUUUUUAUAGACUCGAGAGCAAUUUUAUAAGCCUGGGCUGCCACUCAGCGUGAAGACUACCCUUUUACUCUGGUUUGGGAACCCUCUUUUUGCAAUGGCUGGAUCCGCCCCUGAUGUAUAACAUCACACACCAGCUUAUAUCCAUGAUAUCAGUCGAUCCAAACCUUUACCUCCCACCACAGUUCGUCAAAAACACCAGAUUCACCAAUUGACUACAAUAUCAAACUCUCAGCACCAGAACAGUUUUUUUUUCAUACAUAGUUGUACUCUGCCUCUGGAAUUCACUUUCACAAAACAUCAUAAGUGUUUACUCUUUGUAUCAGUUCAAAAAAACUGAUCCAAAGUCAGAAUAUUUAGAUAUUCAUUUAAAUAUAUGUAAAUCAGUUACUUUUUUCUUUUUGCACAAAUUAAAUUUUUGAUUUUUUCAAUUGUUACUUUUUAUUAACUGUGUUUGUGAUGG
rnacentral:lncRNA from 1 species